UGAGGAAUUUUGGGCAAUGGGCGAAAGCCUGACCCAGCGACGCCGCGUGGAGGAUGAAGGCCUUCGGGUCGUAAACUCCUGUUCUGGGGGAAGAAAACGGGAUGCGUGAAUAAUUCAUCCCGCUGACGGCACCCCAGGAGAAAGCUCCGGCUAAUUACGUGCCAGCAGCCGCGGUAAUACGUAAGGAGCAAGCGUUGUCCGGAUUUACUGGGCGUAAAGAGCUCGUAGGCGGCCGAUCAGGUCUCGCGUAAAAUCCCCCGGCUCAACCGGGGAGAGUCGCGGGAAACCGACCGGCUUGAGGACAGAAAAGGAAAGUGGAAUUCCCGGUGUAGCGGUGAAAUGCGUAGAUAUCGGGAGGAAUACCAGUGGUGAAGACGGCUUUCUGGUCUGUUUCUGACGC
rnacentral:rRNA from 1 species